GACGAACGCUGGCGGCGCGCUUAACACAUGCAAGUCGAGCGAAGCGGCGGACGGGUGAGUAACACGUGAGUAACCUGCCUUAGACAUUGGGAUAGCCUCGGGAAACCGGGAUUAAUACCAAAUGGUCUAAGAUGGACUCGCGUCCCAUUAGGUAGUUGGUGAGGUAACGGCCCACCAAGGCGACGGGGGGUAGUCGGCCUGAGAGGGGGAACGGCCACAUUGGAGCUGAGAAAGGGGCCAAACUCUACGGUGGGCAGAAGUGGGGAAGAUCACCCAAUGGAGGGAAAUGUGAUGCAGCGAGGCCGCGUGAACGGAGAAGGGUGUCGAAUCGUAAUGUUGUGUUAAAUGGGAAGCGGUACCAUAAGAAAAGGCCCCGGCUAACUACGUGCCAGCGGCCGGGUAAUUC
rnacentral:rRNA from 1 species